rnacentral:rRNA from 1 species
GAUGAACGCUAGCUACAGGCUUAACACAUGCAAGUCGAGGGGCAGCGCAGUGUUGCAAUACAUGGGCGGCGACCGGCGCACGGGUGCGUAACGCGUAUCCAACCUUCCCGUUACUCAGGGAUAGCCUUCCGAAAGGGAGAUUAAUACCUGAUGGUGUUGAAAUUCCGCAUGUUAUUUCAACUAAAGAUUUAUCGGUAACGGAUGGGGAUGCGUGACAUUAGAUAGUAGGCGGGGUAACGGCCCACCUAGUCUACGAUGUCUAGGGGUUCUGAGAGGAAGGUACCCCGAAGUGGAACUGAGGCACGGUCCAGACUCCUACGGGAGGCAGAAGUGAGGAAUAUUGGUCAAUGGUCGGAAGACUGAACCAGCCAAGUAGCGUGAAGGAUGAAGGUUCUAUGGAUUGUAAACUUCUUUUAUACGGGAAUAAAACCUCCCACGUGUGGGAGCUUGUAUGUACCGUAUGAAUAAGCAUCGGCUAACUCCGUGCCAGCCGCCGCUGUAAUAC